rnacentral:rRNA from 2 species
UGGUCCAGACUUUGAUUAUGGCUCAGGAUGAACGCUAGCUACAGGCUUAACACAUGCAAGUCGAGGGGAAACGACAUCGAAAGCUUGCUUUUGAUGGGCGUCGACCGGCGCACGGGUGAGUAACGCGUAUCCAACCUGCCCACCACUUGGGGAUAACCUUGCGAAAGUAAGACUAAUACCCAAUGAUAUCUCUAGAAGACAUCUGAAAGAGAUUAAAGAUUUAUCGGUGAUGGAUGGGGAUGCGUCUGAUUAGCUUGUUGGCGGGGUAACGGCCCACCAAGGCAACGAUCAGUAGGGGUUCUGAGAGGAAGGUCCCCCACAUUGGAACUGAGACACGGUCCAAACUCCUACGGGAGGCAGCAGUGAGGAAUAUUGGUCAAUGGACGAGAGUCUGAACCAGCCAAGUAGCGUGCAGGAUGACGGCCCUAUGGGUUGUAAACUGCUUUUAUAAGGGAAUAAAGUGAGUCUCGUGAGACUUUUUGCAUGUACCUUAUGAAUAAGGACCGGCUAAUUCCGUGCCAGCAGCCGCGGUAAUACGGAAGGUCCGGGCGUUAUCCGGAUUUAUUGGGUUUAAAGGGAGCGUAGGCCGGAGAUUAAGCGUGUUGUGAAAUGUAGACGCUCAACGUCUGCACUGCAGCGCGAACUGGUUUCCUUGAGUACGCACAAAGUGGGCGGAAUUCGUGGUGUAGCGGUGAAAUGCUUAGAUAUCACGAAGAACUCCGAUUGCGAAGGCAGCUCACUGGAGCGCAACUGACGCUGAAGCUCGAAAGUGCGGGUAUCGAACAGGAUUAGAUACCCUGGUAGUCCGCACGGUAAACGAUGGAUGCCCGCUGUUGGUCUGAAUAGGUCAGCGGCCAAGCGAAAGCAUUAAGCAUCCCACCUGGGGAGUACGCCGGCAACGGUGCAACUCAAAGGAAUUGACGGA